rnacentral:rRNA from 1 species
AGCGAACGCUGGCGGCAGGCUUAACACAUGCAAGUCGAGCGGAGAGAGGUAGCUUGCUACCGAUCUUAGCGGCGGACGGGUGAGUAAUGCUUAGGAAUCUGCCUAUUAGUGGGGGACAACAUUUCGAAAGGAAUGCUAAUACCGCAUACGUCCUACGGGAGAAAGCAGGGGAUCUUCGGACCUUGCGCUAAUAGAUGAGCCUAAGUCGGAUUAGCUAGUUGGUGGGGUAAAGGCCUACCAAGGCGACGAUCUGUAGCGGGUCUGAGAGGAUGAUCCGCCACACUGGGACUGAGACACGGCCCAGACUCCUACGGGAGGCAGCAGUGGGGAAUAUUGGACAAUGGGCGCAAGCCUGAUCCAGCCAUGCCGCGUGUGUGAAGAAGGCCUUAUGGUUGUAAAGCACUUUAAGCGAGGAGGAGGCUACUCUAGUUAAUACCUAGAGAUAGUGGACGUUACUCGCAGAAUAAGCACCGGCUAACUCUGUGCCAGCCGCCGCGGUAAAAC